GACGAACGCUGGCGGCGUGCUUAACACAUGCAAGUCGAACGAAGUGGCGAACGGGUGAGUAACGCGUAAUCAACCUGCCCUUCAGAGGGGGACAACAGUUGGAAACGACUGCUAAUACCGCAUACGGAAGGAGGGGAUUGCGUCUGAUUAGCUAGUUGGAGGGGUAACGGCCCACCAAGGCGAUGAUCAGUAGCCGGGCUGAGGGGAUGAACGGCCACAUUGGGACGGAGACACGGCCCGGACUCCUACGGGAAGGAGCAGUAGGGAAUAUUGCGAAAUGGGGGAAAGCCUGACGCAUCAUCGGCGCGUAGAGGAUGACACUUUGCGGAGCAUAAACUCCUUUUUAUAGGGAAGCGGUACCUAACGAAUAAGCACCGGCUAACUCCGUGCCAGCAGCCGCGGUAAUAC
rnacentral:rRNA from 1 species